UAGUGCAGGGGUGGGCAAACUACGGCCCGCGGGCCAAAUCCGGCCCGUUGGUCUUUUUAAUCCGGCCCGCCGAAGGUUGGUACACAAUUAAGGUUCGAUGUCAACGACUGCAUUCAUUUCAUUUGGACUUGUAAUGACAGGCAUUUCAACGCCAGGUGGCACAGUUACUUGAAGUUGCAGAGCAUUGGGAGGAAGGGGGAGACGAUACAGAAGCCCGCAGUAGCGCCUAGACAGAAUAAUGUACUCUUAAAGUCUGAAAAACGUGCCCAAAAAUGCAAAAUACUGCUUUUUAAAUAAAGAAAUCCAAUGAAUAUUACGCCGAAUUUAGUUCACCCUUUUGAUCCGGCCCUCCAUAAUAUUUUCUGGUUCUCAUG